AUUUACCCGCGUUAGGGAUUGCAGUGAAAAGCCCACAGCCUGACGCUAGGAAGUGCGAGAACUUGUAGCGGAAAGCCCGACCCUUU
rnacentral:misc_RNA from 1 species